GACGAACGCUGGCGGCGUGCUUGACACAUGCAAGUCGAACGGAAAGGCCUGCUUUCCCUUGUGGAUUGCGGGUACUCGAGUGGCGAACGGGUGAGUAACACGUGAGUGAUCUGCCCCCAACUUGGGUAUAAGCCUGGGAAACUGGGUCUAAUUCCCGAUAGGACUGCAGGGUGGUGCCUGUGGUGGAAAACGAUUUUCUAGUGGUUGGGGAUGAGCUCGCGGCCUAUCAGCUUGUUGGUGGGGUAAUGGCCUACCAAGGCGGCGACGGGUAGCCGGCCUGGGAGGGUGGGCGGCCACAUUGGGACUGAGAUACGGCCCACGCUCCGACGAGAGGCAGCAGUGGGGAAUAGUGCAAGAUGGGCGGAAGCCUGAUGCAGCGACGCCACGUGGGGGAUGACGGCCUUCGGGUUGUAAACUCCUUUCGACCGCGAGGAAGCCACCUGGUUGGAAGGGUGGUGACGGUAGUGGUAUAAGAAGCACCGGCUAACUACGUG
rnacentral:rRNA from 1 species